AACGAACGCUGGCGGCAUGCCUAACACAUGCAAGUCGAACGAAACCUUCGGGUCUAGUGGCGCACGGGUGCGUACCGCGUGGGAACCUGCCCUUAGGUUCGGAAUAACUCCCCGAAAGGGGUGCUAAUACCGGACAAUGUCUUCGGACCAAAGAUUUAUCGCCUUUGGAUGGGCCCGCGUUGGAUUAGCUAGUUGGUAGGGUAAAAGCCUACCAAGGCGACGAUCCAUAGCUGGUCUGAGAGGAUCAUCAGCCACACUGGGACUGAGACACGGCCCAGACUCCUACGGGAGGCAGCAGUGGGGAAUAUAGGAGAAUGGGCGAAAGCCUGAUCCAGCUAUGGCGCGUGGGUGAUGAAGGCCUUAGGGUUGGAAAGCUCUUUGACCCGGGAUGAUAAUGACAGUACCGGGAGAAUAAGCGCCGGCUAACUCCGUG
rnacentral:rRNA from 1 species